UACGAGGGGGGCAAAUGUUGUUCGGAAUCACUGGGCGUAAAGGGAGCGUAGGCGGGUUCUUAAGUAAGGUGUUUAAUCCCGGGGCCCAACCCCGGACCGGCACUUUAAACUGGGAAUCUUGAAUAGUGGAGAGGUCGGUGGAAUUGGGGGUGUAGCGGUGGAAUGCGUAGAUAUCAGGAGGAACACCGGUGGCGAAGGCGGGUCUCUGGGCCGAUACUGACGCUGAGGAGCGAAAGCGUGGGGAGCGAACAGG
rnacentral:rRNA from 1 species